AGUGAACGCUGGCGGCAGGCCUAACACAUGCGAGUCGAACGGUAACAGAGUAAAAGUUUGCUCUUAGGUGUGGCGAGUGGCGGGCGGGUGAGGAAUACGGCGGAAUCUAUUUUGUCGGGGGGGAUAUCGUAGAAAAACUUACGCUAACACCGCAAACCACCAACGGCAAAAAGCAGGGGAUCAUCGUACCUUGCCCUCGUGAAUGAGCAGAUGUGGGAUUAGCUAGCUGGGGGGGUAAGGGCACACCAAGGAGACGAUCCGUAGCUGGUCUGAGAGGAUGACCAGCCACACUGGAACUGAGACACGGUCCAGACUCCUACGGGAGGCAGCAGUGGGGAAUAUUGGACAAUGGGCGCAAGCCUGAUGCAGCCAUACCGCGUGGGUGAAGAAGGCCUUCGGGCUGUAAAGUCCUUUUGUUGGGAAGGAAGAGCGUAAGGUUAAUACCCCGCUGUACUGACGGUACCCACAGAAUAAGCACCGGCUAACUUCGUG
rnacentral:rRNA from 1 species